CCUACGGGUGGCAGCAGUGAGGAAUAUUGGUCAAUGGGCGCGAGCCUGAACCAGCCAAGUAGCGUGAAGGAUGACUGCCCUAUGGGUUGUAAACUUCUUUUAUAAAGGAAUAAAGUGCGUCUCGUGUUCCUUUUUGUAUUUACUUUAUGAAUAAGGAUCGGCUAACUCCGUGCCAGCAGCCGCGGUAAUACGGAGGGUCCGAGCGUUAUCCGGAUUUAUUGGGUUUAAAGGGAGCGUAGAUGGGUUGUUAAGUCAGUUGUGAAAGUUUGCGGCUCAACCGUAAAAUUGCAAUUGAUACUGGCAGACUUGAGUGCGGUUGAGGUAGGCGGAAUUCGUGGUGUAGCGGUGAAAUGCUUAGAUAUCACGAAGAACUCCGAUUGCGAAGGCAGCUUACUAAACUGCAACUGACACUGAUGCUCGAAAGUGUGGGUAUCAAACAGGAUUAGAUACCCGUGUAGUC
rnacentral:rRNA from 1 species